rnacentral:lncRNA from 1 species
CGACUACCAUAAAACCUUAUAUAUAUAAAUCCAUAUUUUGGUUCAUACUCAUUCAUGACUUAGUCAUGUAUGGGAUGUUCUGGAUAUGGUGGAAUAUGUAUGAAGGUUAUGAGUAGGUCAACAUAGAAUCGAUCACUCUUGGUAAGAGAAAAUCGUAUUCUACUUGCUCUGAUCGAUUGAUGAUUCAGGAAGCCUUUGAUCAAAGAAUAAUGAAAAUUAGAAAGAGUUUUUAAUAUUUUAUUAAUCAAAUUAUCAUUUAAGAUUGAAAGAAAUAUGAAUAUGAUAUUAGAUUUGACAUCAUUCUA